AUUACGAUUUGAAGACAAAGAACCUAAACAAAUAAAGACCAUGGAUAUUGAUGAUCACAUAUACCGAAACGAAAGACCCAUCAUGCCCUGCAAGAAGGAUGGAGUUGGUGAUCAACAUUCAGUGUUUUGUCAGUGGUGGAAGAGAUACUCUGGAGCUGCUGCAGUGUGUCUGGGGCUGCUGUGUGUUCUCCUACUGGCUGGGAUCAUAGGCCUGUCUCUCUACCAGAGAAACCAGUUGACCUGUUCCAACACCCUGACUGAAGAGAGGGACCAGCUACAC